rnacentral:rRNA from 1 species
GACGUAGGGAGCAAGCGUUGUCCGGAUUUACUGGGCGUAAAGGACGCGUAGGCGGUCCGUUAAGUGUGAAGUGAAAUCUCCAGGGCUCAACCCGGAAACUGCUUUACAUACUGGCGGACUGGAGGGAUGCAGAGGUAAGUAGAAUUCCUGGUGUAGCGGUGAAAUGCGUUGAUAUCAGGAGGAAUACCGAUGGCGAAGGCAGCUUACUGGGCAUCAUCUGACGCUGAGGCGUGAAAGCGUGGGUAGCAAACAGG